rnacentral:rRNA from 1 species
UACCGGAGAAUGUUAUCACGGGAGACACACGGCGGGUGCUAACGUCCGUCGUGAAGAGGGAAACAACCCAGACCGCCAGCUAAGGUCCCAAAGUCAUGGUUAAGUGGGAAACGAUGUGGGAAGGCCCAGACAGCCAGGAUGUUGGCUUAGAAGCAGCCAUCAUUUAAAGAAAGCGUAAUAGCUCACUGGUCGAGUCGGCCUGCGCGGAAGAUGUAACGGGGCUAAACCAUGCACCGAAGCUGCGGCAGCGACAUUUAGGUGUUGUUGGGUAGGGGAGCGUUCUGUAAGCCUGUGAAGGUGGCCUGUGAGGGUUGCUGGAGGUAUCAGAAGUGCGAAUGCUGACAUAAGUAACGAUAAAGCGGGUGAAAAGCCCGCUCGCCGGAAGACCAAGGGUUCCUGUCCAACGUUAAUCGGGGCAGGGUGAGUCGACCCCUAAGGCGAGGCCGAAAGGCGUAGUCGAUGGGAAACGGGUUAAUAUUCCCGUACUUGGUGUUACUGCGAAGGGGGGACGGAGAAGGCUAUGUUGGCCGGGCGACGGUUGUCCCGGUUUAAGCGUGUAGGUGUGUGUUCCAGGUAAAUCCGGUU